AGAGAGAGAGAGAGAGAGAGAGAGAGUCUAGAAAGAGAGUAAUAAAGUGAGAUGAAAUGAAAGGGACCUCUGGCGUAAGAAAUUGCAGAAACAGGGGUCUUCAGAGCAUCAACGGCCUUGUAUAGAAAAAAGAUCGAAUUCCACCGUGAGCAUCCAGCGGAUGAGGUACCGCAAUAUUUUAAUGGUGGGUUACAGAGAAUUCAUGGCCCACAUUCGUGCGUUUUUAGAGAGAGCGAGAGGAUGGUCCAUUUGUGUGAUUCUCCAGUGGUUGCAUUAUUUUGACAGCAACUGUUGCCAAAGCUCCACUUUCUCUCUCCUCUUUCUCUCUUACCUCACCUUUUCUCUCUCCUCUUUCUCUCUUACCUCACCUUUUCUC
rnacentral:lncRNA from 1 species